rnacentral:rRNA from 1 species
UCUACGGGGGGCUGCAGUGGGGAAUAUUGGACAAUGGGCGCAAGCCUGAUCCAGCAAUGCCGCGUGUGUGAAGAAGGCCUGAGGGUUGUAAAGCACUUUAAGCAGGAAAGAAGGGGUGGGAGUUAAUACCUUUCAUCAUUGACGUUACCUGCAGAAUAAGCACCGGCUAACUCCGUGCCAGCAGCCGCGGUAAUACGGAGGGUGCAAGCGUUGCUCGGAGUGCCUGUGCGUAGAGUGAGCAGUCGGGGGUGAAAGCCCCGGGCUUAACCUGGGAACUGCGGUGGAUACUGUCGGGCUAGAGUGUGGUAGAGGGGAGUGGAAUUUCCGGUGUAGCAGUGAAAUGCGUAGAGAUCGGAAGGAACACCAGUGGCGAAGGCGGCUCCCUGGACUAACACUGACGCUGAGGUGCGAAAGCGUGGGGAGCAAACAGGAUUAGAUACCCUAGUAGUC